CGUCGACCCCACGCCACGCAGAGGUGAAGAUACGCAGGACGUCCUCUAAAGCAACUUCCGUGGGUGCCAGGUUGUGGGCUGGGGGCGGUGCUGACCUUGAGAGAGCGGAGGAGGCGCAGGCGCAGCACAGGUACGUGGGCGGGCGGAUCGUGGUGGCUGCGCUUGCGAGGACCCUGAGGUAGAUUGGGUGGUUUCAACAGGAACGCAUCCACUGUCUGAGAGUUUAAACUUGAUUUUGUGAGGGGACGAACAGCGUGACAAUUAAAAGAAGAUCUGGGAAUCAAAAGCUUCCUGAGGCCUUCACCAGAAGCAGAUGCUGGUGCCGUGCUUCUACAGCCUGCAGAACUGAAGGACUUUACAGCUUCUCUUUCGCAUAUCCAAAUUGCCAGCAUCACCGCUCUUGCACUCCAAGCCAUUAUUAAGUAAAGUAAAGAACACAAACACUGUGAUACUGCUACACUUGAUCUGAUAACCAAGAAGUCUACUAAGUGACUAACAGAGCAACUGGGAACCUAAUUCUGACCAAAAAGGAGGAAUUGUUUGGCUAAUUGGAAGUGACAGAAACCUUGGGAGAAAGCAACCGCAUACCAAGGAUAAUUAUAAGAAGAAGAGAAGACAUGGAGAAGAGGAGGGAGUAGUUGUGACCGUGGAGGCAGAGAAUGGAGUAAUGUGAUCAUAAAUCAAGGAAUGCUGACAGCCACUAAAGCUGGAGAAGGCCAAGGACAGAUAUUCAAUCCUCCCGUAGAAGUACAGCCCUGCUAAUGCAUUGAUUUUGGACUUCUGGCCUCAGAACUGUAAGAGAAUAAAUUUCUAUUGUUUUAAGCCUUCAGUUUGUGGUAGUUUGUUACAGAAACCCUGUAAAGUUAAUACACAGAGUUCAAAGAGAAUCCGGUAAUAUCUCUAAAAGACUCGUGUAUUAGUCAGGAUUCUCCAGAGAAGCAAAGCCAAUAGAAUGAUACAUGUUGUUAAAGCAAAUUAAAAUGGAGACCAUGCCUGAAGAAUCUCUGUGCAGAGAAACCCAGUUAGGCCUCAUAAGUUAACCUUACUUGAUUUGCAAACAUAAUCUAAAAGUUAACUGGAGCUAUUUCCGGUAAAUGAAUAUAACACAACUUAAGCUCAAUCAGUCAGAAGCAGCUUUAUAAUUAUGUAGCUAGGGACUUUCCAAGAGGAUGACCAAAG
rnacentral:lncRNA from 1 species